rnacentral:rRNA from 1 species
UCUUCUUGAGUUUAAUUGGAAGUCUAAUCUGUCCACUGAGUAACAAAUAUUGAAGGACCGCGGUAUAUUGACCGUGCAAAGGUAGCAUAAUCAUUAGUUUCUUAAUUGGGAACUGGAAUGAAUGAUUUGACGAAAUGAUUAAUGUCUCUAGUAUAAUUAAUUGAAUUUUACUUUUAAGUUAAAAGGCUUAAAUAUUAAUAAGGGACGAUAAGACCCUAUAGAUCUUUAUAAUAAUUUUAUUAUUAUUGUUUUGGGUGUUUAUAAUAUAUUUUAUUAAUUUUAUUAUUUUGUUGGGGUGAUGUGAGAAUAUAUAAACUUCUUAAUUUUUAACUUUGAUGAUUGAAUUUAAGAUCCUUUAUUUAUGGAAUAAAGAUUAAGAUACCUUAGGGAUAACAGCGUAAUUUUAUUGGAAAGUUCUUAUUGAUAAUAAGGAUUGCGACCUCGAUGUUGGAUUAAGAAUAUGAAUUGGUGU